rnacentral:rRNA from 1 species
UCGAGAAUCUUCGGCAAUGGGCGAAAGCCUGACCGAGCGACGCCGCGUGUGGGAUGAAGGCCCUUGGGUUGUAAACCACUGUCAGAGGGGAUGAAAUGCACGGGGGUUCUCCCCUGUGUUUGACAUAGCCUCAGAGGAAGCACGGGCUAAGUUCGUGCCAGCAGCCGCCGUAAGACGAACUGUGCAAACGUUAUUCGGAAUCACUGGGCUUGAAGAGUGCGUAGGCGGUUUCGUAAGUAGGGUGUGAAAGCCCCCGGCUCAACCGGGGAAUGGCGUCCUAAACUGCGAGGCUGGAGUGAGGUAGGGGUGUGCGGAACUUCCGGUGGAGCGGUGAAAUGUGUUGAUAUCGGAAGGAACGCCGGUGGCGAAAGCGGCACACUGGACCUUGUCUGACGCUGAGGCACGAAAGCCAGGGGAGCAAACGG